rnacentral:tRNA from 1 species
UCUUAGGUAGCUUAAAUUACAAAGCAUAACUUUGAAGCUGUUAUUAUGGGUCCCCCUCCCCCUAAGUU